CGGACUUUAUCAUUACUUCUGACAUUUGCUCAUGUUGUAGAUGAAAGGUUUGCAUGAAAUCCAUGGUUUAAAUUCUCUGCAGCUAUGCCAGUAAAGAUGGAAAUAUACCUAAAUGAGCAUUUGGAACUUAAGGAGCAACGACUGUGAUCGAACUUUUUAUCGAUCUAGUUAGUUUCAAGUCUCAUGAUGCUUUCGUUUCUUACUUCUGCAAAUGUGAAUACUGAAAAACAGUAGUCUUACAUGUAGUAAUGCCUUGAAAGAUGCUGUUUUGUGCAAAAUUCAAUGCACAUUCCAUCAUGUUUUCAUAUUUUUUAAAGAAUGUUUGAUUUGCUGCCAUUUGUGUUCCUUCUGCAGACUGCCAUUGAAUUUCACUGCUGCACUUGGAAUUAUUUUAAAGGUAAGCCAAGAAGCAUGCCAAAACUCAUGAAAACGUUACCCCCCAGUUUAGUUGAUUCAUUUAUGGAACUUUCAAGAGGGUGUUAGGUGGAUGAAAGGGUUUGGAUUUUAGCAUUUGUAAUUGUUUUUUUUUCUCAGAUUUCGAUUUACAUGUGUAUACAUAUGAAAAAAAACUCAAGGUUCAAGGAUGAUGCACAAAAAUUAAAAAAAUAAUGCUGAGUACGAGAAUUUGCAUAGCACAUGGCAUGGCAUGAAGCCAAGAACCAUUCUUGCUUUCGCACUUCCCAGCCGAAAGCACCCCCAUUUCAUUGCAUUUCAUAUAAUAUUGGUGGAAUAAGAGAGAUAAUAUUAACAGUUAAAUUGCAUUUUGUUCGUUAUACUCAAAAGAUUGAUAAAUUUGUGUUGUAUUUUUCAUUAGAAGGUAAUUUAUUUUUCUGAUAAAAUUUUAUUCAUUUUUGCUGUUAAAUUGACUUUUGAACAUCAAAAUGAGGUUCAUGUGGCAUGUUACGUGUAAUUGUUUGGUUAUUUUGUCAGCCACACAAGAUGAAAUUUCUAUUAGAAAUGAUAAGUUUACUUUUU
rnacentral:lncRNA from 1 species